CAGCAGCCGCGGUAAUACGUAGGUGGCGAGCGUUGUCCGGAAUCAUUGGGCGUAAAGGGAGCGCAGGCGGGCAUGUAAGUCUUUCUUAAAAGUUCGGGGCUCAACCCCGUGAUGGGAAAGAAACUACAUGUCUUGAGUACAGGAGAGGAAAGCGGAAUUCCCAGUGUAGCGGUGAAAUGCGUAGAUAUUGGGAGGAACACCAGUGGCGAAGGCGGCUCUCUGGACUGCAACUGACGCUGAGGCUCGGAAGCCAGGGGAGCGAACGGGAUUAGAUACCCCAGUAGUCCCUGUCUCUUAUACC
rnacentral:rRNA from 1 species